UACGUAGGUGGCAAGCGUUGUCCGGAUUUAUUGGGUUUAAAGGGUGCGUAGGCGGUUCCAUAAGUCCGUGGUGAAAUACGGCAGCUCAACUGUCGAGGUGCCAUUGAUACUGCGGAACUUGAGUGUUGAUGAGGCAGGCGGAAUUGACGGUGUAGCGGUGAAAUGCUUAGAUAUCGUCAAGAACACCGAUAGCGAAGGCAGCUUGCCAAGCAACAACUGACGCUCAGGCACGAAAGUGCGGGGAUCAAACAGG
rnacentral:rRNA from 1 species